rnacentral:rRNA from 1 species
CGCGCAGGCGGAUUGAUAAGUCAGGUGUGAAAUCUCGGGGCUCAACCUCGAAACUGCGCCUGAAACUAUUAGUCUAGAAUGUCGGAGGGGGCAGGGGAAUUUCACGUGUAGGGGUAAAAUCCGUAGAGAUGUGAAGGAACACCGGAGGCGAAGGCGCCUGCCUGGACGACUAUUGACGCUGAGGCGCGAAAGCGUGGGGAGCAAACAG